UACGUAGGGUGCAAGCGUUAUCCGGAAUUAUUGGGCGUAAAGAGCUUGUAGGCGGUUUGUCGCGUCUGCUGUGAAAUUUCGGGGCUCAACCCCGAACUUGCAGUGGGUACGGGCAGACUAGAGUGUGGUAGGGGAGACUGGAAUUCCUGGUGUAGCGGUGAAAUGCGCAGAUAUCAGGAGGAACACCGAUGGCGAAGGCAGGUCUCUGGGCCAUAACUGACGCUGAGACGCGAAAGCGUGGGGAGCAAACAGG
rnacentral:rRNA from 1 species